AAACAAUAACAACAAACAGCCCAUGUCAUGGCUGACCUGCCCCAGGCCCAAUAAUACUCUAGCCCAAUCACUCCAAUCAACUGAACCAGCAGCCCAAAAUCCCAAGACCCAGCCCAUUGUUUUUCUUCUUCAAUUUCAAUAAACAACAAUUCUAUCAGCAAACACCUUCAAUAUGGAUGAUAACAACUCCAACAACUUCAGCCACACCUCGACCCACAAUCGACCUGACCUCAACUCGUUUCUCGUAUGCAUCACGUGCCCUCCCACGCGGAUCUGUAUAAGGAAGAUGCCGAGAAUCUUCUACAAAUUACUUAGCUGGCUCGUCUAACAUUCAAAUCCAUGAAUUUGGGGGGAAAUUGGUAUGAAUUCGUACACAUUUAUGCUAAUUCUAUUGGUUCUUGGGGAUUAUUCCUUUUUCCCAAUUUCCAUUGAUUAAACCCAUUAAAUUUUCUUCAGAAAGUUCCAAAAAUCAGUACUAGAAUGAGGUACAAAACCUUAUCCACAUGCCAAAUUCAAAUUUACCCCAUUAAAAUUCACCAAAUUACCCUUGAAAAUCCUUUGUCCCACAUCGGUGAAAGCUAAAAAUUUCUUCCAUUUUAUUUUCUAUAAAUAGCUCAUUGUGGAGCAAAUUGAGGACAAGUCUCACGGUUUGGAAAAAGCUUUGAUCAAAAAGAGUAAAAAUUUUAGUAAAAAUUUUCCUUUUUCAUGAAAUUCGCUGGCUAAUCGAAGUUCUCGAGUUGACGACAAUAUUUUUUGGUGGUGGUUGUUACUCCGGCAGAAGCCUAAAGUCCUGUUUUGUUGCCCUGAAACAGUGUAGGUGUGGAAUUGAUUCACUUUGCUUGAAAUUCUACAAUUACUUUGACUUUUGCUUCAAUGAACAUAUAAAGGCAAAUUUUGGGAGAACAUUUUCUAGUUCUUCUCUCAAAAGUGGGAAUUAAUAAAUGAAAUGGAGUUUCAUCAUAUACGAUCUUCAUCUCUAAGAUCCUUCUGCCGGCAGCUUUAGAUAAGCAUAUUUUUGCUUGGAUCAUUUUAAAUUUUUCCCCUUUUUCUCUCUGGGUGCUCGACUCAUUCUAAAGUUUUCAUCUUAAAUGUUUCCUUUCUUAUUUGACAUCAUGAAUAAGUUGCUCAUGAGGUUUGUGUAGUUUAAUUUCCAACUCUAGUGUAUGUCUUAGUGCCUUUUCUUGUUCUCUUGUUCAUUAAUGGUUUAGUAUCUUUAUUAAAGUUUGCAUGUUGUUGCGCCCUAUUUCGAAAGAAACUUUCUGAAAUUUUUCUUUCAAAUUUACCCGAGACGUCUUCUCGCGGUUCCAUUGAUUUUCUUUGUGAUGCUUUGAUCGACUUUAAGGCUAUAAUGAACACAUUUUAGGAUUUGAUGGUUCUCCCUAGUUCAUGAUGUUAAAGAAGGAACUGAUGAAGCCUUGGAGAAAGGCAAUGUAAUCUCACAUGCUUCUCUUCUUUUAUCCCUAAAUGCUUGUUUGCAAGUUUGUGUUUUCUUAUCAUUCUUAUCCCUGCUCACUGGAUCCCCCCCACACCCACCCACGAAGUUAGUCUUAAAUAUCUCUAUUCUUUAAAAUCGGUCUAUCCGUUUUUAGGUAUUGAUGAUAGCUAUAAUUGCAUGACUUUACUAAGUCAAGCAUGCCCAUUUUCUUUGGCCGUUCUAUAUCUUGACUUACUGUCUUUAAUUUUUAUUUUUAUUUUUAUUUUGGGCCGUAAUAGUUUCCUUUCAUCUAUCAUUCUGUUAUAUUACUCCUCCGUUUUGCAUGCGUCUUAACUUCCUUUAUGUCUUCUUUUUCAUGUGAAUCUGUUCGGAGUCCAAAUGGACUCUUCUCCUUUGGCAUUCCAUAAUGGGCCAAUGAGGCCCAUCCCUUAUAGCCGAUCACUUUGGAUAAAAGAGUCUGUUGCUGUGGAAGAAGAAAAAUUGGUCGAAACCCGUUGAUGUUAAAUUUGUAUUGUUGUUUUUAUUUAUUUAUUCAUUCAUUCAUUUGGGCCUCGAAGUUAAAGUUGUAAAUUAAUACAAGUAAAGUGGUUGGGGGCUCUUAGCCCAAAGUGACUAGUUUAGGACAGGUGCAGGUGAGCCAAAAAUCCAAACGAAUAGUUUAGGACAAGUUCAUAGAUUUUGGCCCAAAGGGGUCUAGAUCUCUCAAUCUCUUCCCUUUCUCUUUUUCCUUAUGUUUGUUUGCUAGCAAUUUCCUAUGGCCUAUUUAAAUUCCCAACGAAGUCGUCAAAAAGAUGUUUUGUAUAA